UGUGAGUCGCUCUAUUCCAGCCCAUUUUCAGAUGCGGGAGACACUGACGGGAGGGGCCACUUGGUCAGCUCAAGGUCGAGCCAGUCAACCAGACCACGCAAAUCCACACUGCCCGCUCCCCCUCGCCGCCGGCGCCACCGCCACCGCGCCGCCGCCUACACCAGCACACCAUGCUCCGCCUCCACAAGUGCAUCCUCACCCAGCUGCUCCCUCGUACCUCUGCCUCCACCUCCCCACUCCACCGUCUCAUCUCCGCCGCCGCGCCCGCCGCAUCCCCAGGCCCCAGCUUCGCCGUGGAGGACUACCUCGUCGCCACCUGCGGCCUCACCCGAGCGCAGGCGCUCAAGGCCUCCACGAAGCUCUCCCACCUCAAGUCGCCAGCCAAUCCCGACGCCGUCCGCUCCUUCCUCGCCGGUCUCGGCCUCUCCACCGCCCACGUCGCAGCGCUCGUCGCCAAGGACCCCAAGUUCCUCUGCGCAAGCGUGGAGAGGACCCUGGCUCCCGUCGCCGUCGGGCUCGCCGGCCUCGGCCUCUCGCGUCCCGGAGUCGCGCGGCUCGUCUCGCUCGCCGGCGAGUUCUUCCGCGGCAGAUCCGUCGCCUCGAGGCUGGCCUACUUCCUCUUCCUCUUCGGCUCCUACGAGGACCUCCUCCGGGUGCUCAAGCACAGCCCCAAUCUCCUCGGAUGCGACCUCGACCGGGUCAUCAAGCCCAACGUCGCCUUCCUGCGGGAGUGCGGGCUAGGUGCUUGCGAUAUUGUCAGGCUGUGCAACCGUGUGCCAUGGCUGCUCGGCAAUAACCCGGAGCGCGUCCGGGCGAUAGUGGCGUGCGCCGAAGGGCUCGGUGUGCCCCGUGGAUCGGGGAUGUUCGGGCAAGCGCUGCAAGCUGUCGCAUUCCUCACCCAGGAGAAAAUCACCGCCAAGGUCGAGCACUUGAAGAAGAUGUUCCGGUGGUCGGAUGCCGAGGUGGGCAUUGCUGUUUCUAAGGCUCCGGCGGUGCUGCUGAAGGCCAAAGAAUCGCUGCAGCGCAGGUCCGAGUUCCUCAUCUCCGAGGUGGGGUUGGAACCUGCAUACAUUGCUUUUCGUCCAGCAAUGCUCAUGUACAGCUUGGAGGGCAGGAUCAGACCCCGGUACUACGUUGUAAAGUUUCUCAAGGAAAAUGGAUUGCUAAAUCAUGACCGGGACUACUAUAAUACAAUCGUGAUCAGCGAGAAGGUAUUUAUGGACAAGUUCAUAUGCCCUCACAAGAAAUCUGCACCGCACCUUGCUGAAGACUAUGCAGCAGCUUGCAGAGGGGAAGUGUCCGUGAGAUUCAUAUCUGCAUGAACCAACAGCAGGGUGUUGAAUUUUGAAAAUGUGUACUGCACAAUGAAGAUUUCGCUCUGCCACCCAAUAAAGAACAUAGAAGAACCAGCCAAAGUUCGCGCUGACCAGAGGAAGCGUAGAAAGGUUGGCGAAAUCACAAGUCCAUCUUCAAAAGGUUCACCUGACAACAAGCACGAUGGUAUGUUGUUGCCUGAAAAGUAUUCUACAUCGAGUCCUGCUCUUCAACCACUGGAUGACACACAACGAAAAUUAGGGGUGGAAAAAAGGAUAAGCACAACCAAGAAUCUUCACUUCCAAGUUCCAACUAAUAAGCAAGACUUGUCACAACUAAUUAUGGCCCUAAAAUUGCUGGAGCUAUGGCUGAACAGUUGUUUGAACAGUUAUUCCAGAGCCACUGGGCAUACUGCACGCGUUCAUCAUAGCCUUGAGUCACUUGCCCUUGCUAGAAAAAGCUUGAACUGUGAGUGCAAUGAAGAGCUUGCGGGGUUCAUCUAUGGAAAAUUAAGGACCCUAAAGAAGAAGAAGAAAAAUCCAAAUAGAGCAAUUGAAACUAACAUCACGGGUCAACCAGUGUCAGUAGAGGACACCCAAAUCUCAUGGGAGGAGACCUCUACCAACUUGAGAAAUGACCACAUGUUCCAAAAUAAGGAAAUGGAUAGUCAUGGCAAUUUCACAAAUGGUGCACUACAAGAGGUCUCAUCUGGUGUUGAACAUAUGAUCUCAGGUGCAGGAACUUGUUUAAAGAAACUCACAGAGAAUGCCAUUUGUCAAAUGAUGAGCUUCCUAACAUGAUUGUGGAGAAAAUAAUAGAGUUAGUUGAAAGACAAUGAUCAUGGCAAUUUCACAAAUGGUGCACCACGGGAGGUCUGCUGAUUGUUGGUCCAAGCACAGCUUUAAAUUCCGAGGAUUGCACGCGGCUCUGCGGCAAUGGGCGAACAGGAAAGGAAACCUGCACCUGCUGAUCUCAAACAAUAAGUUGGUGCCUGAUUGCCUCAAUGCGGUGGAAGAAAGGAGGCAUUUAUCUGACUCUGAGUUUCUUCUCCGUGUGCACGCAACAAGGAAGUUGGAGUCAUUACUCAAAUGGCAGCCCAUGUACUGGAAACAGAGGUCCAAGCUUAAUUGGUGCCGCAGCAAUUAUCAUGCUAAAAGGAAUUUUUUCGGAAUCAAGCUAGUAAAGAGGGUGGGGUGGAGCAUUUCGAGAUUUCUGACAAGCUGAGAAUUGCCAUGGAUUACUAUCAGAAUAUCUUUGGGCGCUCAUCCUCCUGCUCGCCUACUGUCAACCUUCUGUCAGUCUAUGUGCAGGCAGAGCAAAUUCAUUUAUCAGACCUUUGCACAGUGUUUAUGUGGGAAGAAGAUUUAUGGGCUAUUAAGUACAGUAUUCUCCAAACAACAGGAGUCCAGGGCUGGAUAGCUUCACCUAUGACUUUUAUAAAGCCAUGGACAUAGAGUUAUUCUCGCUGCUGCAGUUCAUUGAGAUUUGGCAGACUGGAGUUUUGUCAUCAUCGCCGCUUGUGCUAGCUGCCUAAACAUAGGGGACUAUAUUCAGUCAGCUUGUUGGUCAACAUGAUGAUAAGGGGCAUGUACAAUGGUUGAUAAGAUAUUCUUAUCUUAAGUUCUGCAUGUAAUUUAGAGAUGUCUACAAUGGUUGUGAGAUAUGUUGUGCUAAGAGGUCAU